AACGAAACAUUCAGUCCUUUCCCCACCAACCCUAUUUGUUCUACUUUCAGUCUUUAUAUAACUCCCAACUCAUCUUUUCCUGUGACCUCAUCGACUGGUCCUUGUCACAUCAGACCAUCACCAGUUAUCCGUCAACUCCGUGCUCACUCUGACUGUGUAUUGACUUGGACCUGGCACCGGACUUGGUUCUGAGGAUACAUAGGCCAAGGGAAGACCUAAAGACUACUACUGUAGAGAAGGAUGGUACUGAAGGAUGCUACUGUGAGAAGGAUGCUACUGUGAGAAGGAUGCUACUGACCUGCUUUAAACACCCCAACUUCUUGCCAAGCCUGGGCGGGAUCUUAAUGAGUAGCAUCUACUUAAGCUCAAGGCUGUAUCCCUGGAGCUGGAGGAGACAAGCAGUGACUCCU
rnacentral:lncRNA from 1 species